rnacentral:rRNA from 1 species
UGACAACCGAGAGAUCGGGCGGUUCCCCCUUCGGGGGACAGGGUGGACAGGUGGUGCAUGGUUGUCGUCAGCUCGUGUCGUGAGAUGUUGGGUUAAGUCCCGCAACGAGCGCAACCCUUGUCGCUAGUUAGAUCUUUCUAGCGAGACUGCCGGUACAACACCGGAGGAAGGUGGGGAUGACGUCAAGUCAGCAUGGCCUUUAUGUCCUGGGCUACACACACGCUACAAUGGUUGGUACAGAGGGGUGCGAAACCGCGAGGCGGAGCAAAUCCCACAAAGCCAACCUCAGUUCGGAUUGCAGGCUGCAACCCGCCUGCAUGAAGCCGGAGUUGCUAGUAACCGCUGGUCAGCCAUACAGCGGUGAACUGCGUUCCCGGGCCUU